AAGGCGGGGCGCUCUAUCGCUGCCGGACCGUCACAGGUCCGGGGGAGGAAAGUCCGGGCAGGACAGAGCACCGCACUGUGGAAAGCACAGGUAGGCGAAAGCUUACGUCACGGGUAACAGAAAACAACCGCCCCUCCCUCGGGAGAGGUAAGGGUGAAAAUGCAGGGUAAGAGCCUGCGUCCGUUCGAUGGCGACAUCAUCGGAGUAUCCGCCUGCGGCCUGCAAGGCCAAAUAUACCGGCAGUCAAGGGCUGCUCGUCCUUUGCCGGGGGGUAGGCUGCUCAGAUAAAUGAUAGAGGCCGACGGAGUCCGCUCCGACGGUACAGAACCCGGCUUACAACCCCGCCUUUUUU
rfam:Alistipes sp. CAG:831 genomic scaffold, scf210